AUGCGCAAUCGGAACUUCCUACUCGAAGAUGGAAAUAAUUGUUUACAAGACUCAAAACCAAAAAUUUUGUUUGCAAAUAGUGACUGAUGUGCCUUAUGAUGUAGAUGUUGGAUAUUGUGCUUUUCCAGAGAAAUGGCCCAAAAUGGAAAGCAUCUGCAGACAAUGACUGAUAUGUUUUUUGAUGCAGAUGUUUAAAAUGAUGCUUUUGAAGCACCAGUGUUCAGACAUAGGUUAACUUCCUAGAUAGACGAUUGAGGACCAAUAGUGUCAACGGAAAAAAAUCUACGCCAUGAAUAUUGCUUUAAUCAAUACUGGUUUAGAAAUGAUAAUGAAACUCUGGUACAUUUUUUAUUGAUCGUGUGGUUUUCAUGUAUUCUCCCAAAAAUGAAGAUAUGAGAGAAUUAAUACACUUUUUACGUGUACAUGUACGUGUAAAUUCAGUAGCAUUGAAAGUUGGGUUAUACAAUGUACAUAUUUUGCUGUUUUAAUGUUCCUAAACGAUCAUAUUGCCUUGUUCAUAUUAAUAUUUAAAUGUUUUAGUAAUACUCAAUAAAAAGUCAGAGUCU
rnacentral:sRNA from 1 species